rnacentral:rRNA from 1 species
UACGUAGGGCGCGAGCGUUGUCCGGAAUCACUGGGCGUAAAGGGCGCGUAGGUGGCUUGUUAAGCGUGUGGUGAAAGCCUGGGGCUCAACCCCAGGUCUGCCGUGCGAACUGGCAAGCUUGAGCGUAGUAGAGGCAGGUGGAAUUUCGGGUGUAGCGGUGGAAUGCGUAGAUAUCAAGAGGAACACCUGAGGUGAAGACGGGUUGCUGGGCUGACACUGACGCUGAGGCGCGAAAGCUAGGGUAGCAAACGGG